GAUGAACGCUAGCGGCAGGCCUAAUACAUGCAAGUCGAACGGUGUCUUCGGACACAGUGGCGCACGGGUGCGUAACACGUAUGCAACCUACCUUACAUUGGGGGAUAGCCUUUAGAAAGGGAGAUUAAUACCGCAUAAGACAGUAGCGGGGCAUCCAGCAGCUGUUAAAGAUUAAUCGAUGUAAGCUGGGCAUGCGUCCAAUUAGCUAGUUGAUUGGGGUAAUGGCCCACCAAGGCGACGAUCAGUAGCUGGUCUGAGAGGAUGACAAACCACACUGGGACUGAGACGCGGACCAAACUCCUACGGGAGGCAGCAGUGGGGAAUCUUGCGCGAUGGGCGAAAGCCUGACGCAGCCAUGCCGCGUGGAUGAUGAAGGUCUUAGGAUUGUAAAAUCCUUUCACCGGUGAAGAUAAUGACUGUAUCCGGAGAAGAAGCCCCGGCUAACUUCGUGCCAGCCGCCGCGGUAACAC
rnacentral:rRNA from 1 species